rnacentral:rRNA from 1 species
UACAGAGGUCUCAAGCGUUGUUCGGAUUCAUUGGGCGUAAAGGGUGUGUAGGCGGGCUAUUAAGUCAGUGGUGAAAUCUCCGGGCUCAACCCGGAAACUGCCAUUGAUACUAUUAGUCUUGAAUUUUGUUGAGGUAGGCGGAAUAAGUCAUGUAGCGGUGAAAUGCAUAGAUAUGACUUAGAACACCAAUUGCGAAGGCAGCUUACUAAGCAAAUAUUGACGCUGAGGCACGAAAGCGUGGGGAUCAAACAGG